rnacentral:snRNA from 14 species
AGACUUACCUGGCAUCGGGUUCAGGGGAAUCGGCAAUGCUCUGACUCCAGAUGGAGGUCCACAAUUGCACUACAGCGUGCGGAAGUUUGUGACAGACUCUACUCGGGUGUGUUGGUUUGCCAGUGGGGUGCCUUCAGGCAUCCCUCU